UACGAAGGGGGCUAGCGUUGCUCGGAAUUACUGGGCGUAAAGCGCACGUAGGCGGGUCGUUAAGUCGGGGGUGAAAUCCUGGAGCUCAACUCCAGAACUGCCUUCGAAACUGACGAUCUUGAGUUCGGGAGAGGUGAGUGGAACUGCGAGUGUAGAGGUGAAAUUCGUAAAUAUUCGCAAGAACACCAGUGGCGAAGGCGGCUCACUGGCCCGAUACUGACGCUGAGGUGCGAAAGCGUGGGGAGCAAACAGG
rnacentral:rRNA from 1 species